AUUUGUGGUUGUAUUAGACCCAAGCCCCUGUUUCAAAGAUGUCUUACGCAUAUCUUUUCAAGUACAUCAUUAUAGGCGACACAGGUGUUGGGAAAUCCUGCCUUCUCCUGCAGUUCACAGACAAGAGAUUCCAGCCAGUUCAUGACCUGACAAUUGGUGUGGAGUUCGGCGCCCGCAUGAUCACAAUCGAUGGUAAACAAGUCAAACUGCAGAUCUGGGACACGGCCGGCCAGGAGGCGUUCCGCUCCAUCACGCGCUCCU